AUGCUUUCAAUCUGAUGGGCCGUGGGCUAUCGCUUCCAAGAAUUACUGAAACCCUUAGGGCCCUCUAGAUGCCACCUGACCUUGAAUAACACUGGAGAAGAAAUCUCAAGGACUACUGCGAUCUCUCCCUGGCUCCUGGUAAAUGGAGCACCUGACCUUUCGUCUUUCCCAUCUCAUGGUUCGGGAUGAUUCAACUGGCCUGGAGCUCCAGUGGAACACUGUCUGCUUCAACUCUGGUGUCCUGCCUCAUGGCCUCGGGUCUAGCUGCUGAGUCCCCGUGGCAGCCUGAAUUCCUGGACUUCUGGUUUUUCCUUGUCAUCAUCUGGUUGUGAAAUAAAGUGCAGCCUCUGCUCUCCUGGCAGUUUCCAGUGUUUGCUCCAUUUCAUUGCAUGGACUCCACUGGAUUUUGACAGGUUGCCCUCUACAUGAAACCACAGUUGAAAGCAGUCUCAAAUGAGGCUCUGACAGACUCUCUCUGGGAGUGAAAGAGAAGCCGAUGACAAAUAAAAGCAAAUCUUUGAAGCAGAGCAUUUAGAGGCAGAUUUUUAAUGAAGCUUUGGAUUGGGGUGUCAGAGCAGCAAGUGGCUGGACUGGUAUUCAAACCCUGACAACUUCUUCAUGAGGCAGAAGAGUGAAGAGGGGACAGAACGCAGGUGUCAGAACACAGGUGAACGUCAGAGAGCUGGAGAGCUGACGCAGCUGCUGAAAGUUUUGAUAUUCAUUUACUCAAGCAAGGUCAUCAUGGUCCUUUACUCAAUUACAAGGUCACGGUGGAACUAACUUAGGUAUUUUUUCACUGCGUCACCAAAAUUCUUCCUCUCUAUUAUAUUACCCCUAUUCGGAAAACAUACAAACGUACCCUAAUAGUAUCUUCCUUUAGAAUUAAAUUCUUUGUCUGGUUAUAUCUGAUUUUCUGUUCCCUCCACAGGAAAACUUUCAGAAAGUUGUCUAUGUGCUGUCUCUAUAUCCUCACUUACAUUCACCU
ensembl:lncRNA